rnacentral:rRNA from 1 species
UAGGGAAUAUUGGUAAUCUGGGAAACCGGGAACCAGCAACGCCGCGUGCGCGCUGAAGGCCUUCGGGUUGUAAAGCGCUUUUUGAGAGGAUGAGGAAGGACAGUACUCUUAGAAUAAGCCUCGGCUAACUACGUGCCAGCAGCCGCGGUAAAACGUAGGAGGCGAGCGUUAUCCGGCUUUACUGGGCGUAAAGCGUGUGUAGGCGGUUUGAUAAGUUGGAUGUGAAAGCUCCUGGCUUAACUGGGAGAGGUCGUUCAAAACUAUUA